AAUGCUUGUGAAGAGAAACAAUAUAUAUUAUUCAUCUCGACAUAUGUUGAUAGUAGUGCAUCAUACAACUUUGUCUAAACAUCUUGCUCGCUCGGGUGUUGUGAAUAAUGACUUGCUGAUGGUGAUUAUGUGCUCACCUCGUCUCACUGACAUGGUAAGACAUGGCGAGCAAGCCUUGCCAGACACGCUCUGGUGCUGUGAUAUGAAGACCUGCCAACAGACAUAUCUUAUUAGCAGAAGAAUUCAGCGUGUUUUAUUUGCAAUGAGAAUAUAAUUCAUGCACCAACCUUAUUAGUACAGCUCCACAUGCCAGGCUAACAAUCAUCCUCGCCAUCAUAAAGAAGUGGAUCUUACCAUUGUACUAUGCCCGACAUCAUGGAUCUAUAUAUUUGAAACAUCUUGAUGUACACCUGGCAUAAAUUGGCCCAAUAGUAGUACUGCAAAUAAAAGGUGGCACUGUUAAAGCAUGCCCCUAUUUUUUUACUGUAUGCAACAAAUGAGAAAAUAUGGUAGUUUAGUAACCUUCCAUGUGCAUAUUAUCCUUAUGUUAUAACGACCACCCCUAUCCAUGCCAGUGGCGCCUCGGGCUUGCUGGUUUGGUGUUGCCCCCUGUAAAGUCAACAUAGGUUACAAUCUUUCAGGAGUCACUUGUUAGACCUUUCAACCUGAGCAUUGAUAGUUGUGGAUGACACUAGGAGAGUUGGGACAAUUUUCGUUGGUUUAUUUCUCACACAAUGCCAUGCCAACCCGAGGGGUUGGGGAUACAUAUUUAUAGGCUGCUAGCCAGCCAAGGCAUAUGCUAAGAUGCUGCCAAGAUGCCAGUCUAAGAUGCUAGUCUAAGAUGCUAACUGACAGUCCUUGAUGGUCAAGAACAGAACUCUAUCCUAACAGCCAGUCCUUGAUGGUCGAGGACUUUAUCCUCCUAACUGCCACAAGGACCAUGUGCUGCAGCCCCACAAGGACCCUAGUACACAGACUUAUCCAUCAUUCUCCCCCUAAGUCUUGUACGUCGUCUUGUGGGAGAGUUGAAUCAUCCCAAUCCUGGAGCAAAGUUCGAGAAACUUGACCCUCCCAAGGGGCUUGGUGAGCAGGUCUGCGAGCUGAUCCUUGGUGUUGAUGUAGCUCGCCUCGAUGCUCCCUUCUUCCACACAGCUGCGGAUGAAGUGAUACCUCAGUCGGAUGUGCUUGCUCCGUUCGUGGAACACGGGGUUCUUUGCCAGGGCCAGGGCGGACUUGCUGUCCACCAGGAGCUGCACCGUUCUGGUGUCUUGAACGAGAAGAUCACCAAGCAGUCGAGCAAGCCAGAGCGCCUGAGUACAGGCGGUGGAGGCCGCUAUGUACUCAGCCUCACAGCUGGACAGGGCCACCACCUGCUGCUUGACUGAUUGCCAGCUCACGAGACACUUGCCGAGGAAGAGGAGGAUCCCGCUCGUGCUCUUGCCGGUGUCGAUGUCGCCGGCGUGGUCGCUGUCGUUGUACCCGACGAAGUGUGCCGCCCCAGGACACCUAGGGUAGUGGAGGCCGUGGUCGAGGGUCCCUGCUAUGUAGCGGACGAUCCUCUUCACUGCCUGCUGGUGUUCCGACGUUGGUCGCUCCAUGAACCGACUGACAUAGCCGACGGAGAAUGCCAAGUCCGGCCGUGUGUGAGUGAGGUAGCGAAGGCUCCCCACAAGGCGUCGGUACUGCGUAGCAUCCACUUCCUCCGUCGUGUUAUCGCGGCUCAGUUUCAGCCUCUCCUCCAUCGGAGUGAGAGCUGGAUGGCAGUCGGUGAGCCCAGCUAGCUCAACGAUGCGCUUGGCGUAGGCGGACUGUCGAAGCGCGAUCCCGGAGUGGUCCUGGUGCACCUCAAUCCCUAGAUAGAAGGAGAGGAGCCCCAGGUCACUCAUCUGGAACGUGGCCUUCAUGUCUUCCUUGAACGCCGCCACCUUUGCACCUUUAGUGACGGUGAUCACCAGGUCGUCAACGUAGACGCCCACCAGCAGGGCAUUUCCUCCACUCCCCCGUCGGUAGACGGCAGCCUCAUGCGGGCUCUGCUCGAAACCCAUCUUCUUCAGCGUGGAGUCCAGCUUGGCGUUCCACGCCCUGGGUGCCUGCCGCAGGCCAUAGAGAGCCUUGCGCAGGCGGAGCACCUUGCCCUCCUGGCCGGGAAUCGUAAACCCAGGUGGCUGAUGCACGUAGACUUCCUCCUUCAAGUCGCCGUUGAGGAAUGCCGACUUAACGUCCAUGUGGUGGACACGCCAGCCCUCCUGGGCAGCCAGCGCAAGGAGAAGUCGCACGGACUCCAUCCGUGCCACGGGAGCGAAAGCGUCGUCGAAGUCAACUCCUUCCUGCUGCAAGAAGCCUCGGGCCACCAAGCGAGCCUUGUGCUUGAUGAUGGCGCCGGCUCCAUCCCUCUUCAGCUUGAACACCCACUUAAGGGUGAUUGCGCGGUGACCUCGAGGGAGAUCAGCGAGCUCCCAGGUGCGGUUUUGCUCGACCGCAUCCAUCUCCAACUGCAUCGCGGCGCGCCAUGCCGCGUCUCUCUCGGCCUCUGCAAAGGACCGUGGUUCGCCGUCUUCACACACGAGCUGUAGCUGCGCCUCCAGGUCACGUGGCACCAGUCCUGGCACCGGCUGGUCGCCGAGCAGAUUAUCCAUCGUACGGUAGCGCAGCUGUUCGCCUCCAUACCAUGCGUCGACCCGCUCCUCGUCGUGAGUGAGCGGGGAAGCGAACUUCAUCGGGUUGUGCUCUGCGUGAGCUGGUGCUGAUGAAGACGAGCCCGGAGUGGCGACCGCCGGGGCUGGAGUAUGCGGCGUCGCCGGUUGUGGUGUCGUCGGUGUAGCAGGCGCCGGAGUCGAUGUAGUUUUGGGGGCCGGGGUAGACGUGCCCGGUGAAAAGGAGCUGCUUGCUCCCCCAGCUUCCUUGAAGUGAGCGUACUCGACAAUGAAGUCGUCAUACGUCGGCGUCGAGCCGUCGUCCACCGCCUUGUCCCAUUGCCACCCUCGCCCUUCGUUGAACACGACGUCUCGCGCUGUGCGCACACGUUGUGUCUUUGGGUCGAGGAUGCGGUAGGCCUUUGAGCCCUCCGCGUAGCCGAUGAAGACUCCCGGAGUGCUCCUGUCGUCGAGCUUGCCGAUGUGGCCGAGCUCCUUGGCGAACGCAAGGCAGCCAAAGACCCGUAAAUGAGAGACCGCCGGCUUCCGCCCAUGCCAGGCCUCGUACGGAGUUCUGCCGUCGAGUGCCUUAGUAGGAGAGCGGUUGAGGAUGUAGACGGCCGUUAGCACCGCCUCUCCCGAAAAGACAGCCGGCAUCCCUCUCUGCUUGAGGAGAGCCCGAGCCAUCCCCACAACCGUCUGGUUGCGCCGCUCGACGACGCCGUUUUGCUGCGGGUUGUACGGCGCGGAGUAGUGGCGCUGGAUGCCCUCAUCGGCGCAGUACGACGCGAAUUCAGCCGCCGUGAACUCGCCGCCGUUGUCAGUGCGCAACACGCGCAAUUUGCGGCCGCUCUCCGCCUCCACACCAACCUGCGCGCGCCUGAUGGCGUCCGCCGCUUCUCCCUUACUGCCGAGGAUCAUCACCCACAUGUAGCGGGAGAGAUCGUCGACGAGCAGCAGGAAGUAGCGUCGACCUCCUGGUGUGGCUGGCGUCACCGGGCCGCACAGGUCUCCGUGCACGAGCUCCAGCUUCUCCUUAGCCCGAAAACUCGCCUGUUGGGGAAAGGGGAGUCGUCUCUGCUUUGUCAGUACGCAGAUGUCGCAGAAUUGCUCCACAUGGUCGAGGCAUGGCAGGCCUCGCACCAUCUCCUUGGCACUUAGACGCUUCAGGGCCUCAAAGUGAAGGUGCCCAAAGCGCUCAUGCCACUGCCACGCCUCGUCGUCUCGACGGACAGCGAGACAGACCGGUUGUGCCACCUGCACAUCAAGGACGUAGAGUCGAUUUUCACCUCUGGGCACCUUGGCGAGAAGGCGACGCUGGCGAUCCCAGAUGCGUAGGACCCCAUGCUCAAUCAGCACGCGUGAGCCGUUCUCAUCCAGCUGUCCCAAGCUGAUGAUGGAAUUCCUUAGCGCGGGGAUGUAGUAGACACCGGUGAGCAGCCGGUGCUCUCCCAUCUUGGUGGUGAAGAUGACGGAGCCGACGCCCUUUAUCUCCACAGCGAAGGCAUCCCCGAACUUGACGGAGCCUCGCGCAUCGGAGUCGAGCUCGGCGAAGAAUUCCCUUCGACCGGUCAUGUGGUGGGUGGCGCCGGUGUCGAGGCACCACCCCGUAGCCUUGUCCUUCCCGGAGCCAUCGCCGAGAAGAGCGUGUGCUUUUGGCUCAUCGAGGUGGAUGAAAGCCUUUGCGACUGGAGUCGCCGAGGGUAGCUCAAUGCUUGCAUGCGCCAUGAACAGAGCCGUCUCCUCAUCCUUCGCCUGUGCGACGUGAGCCUGGCCUUGUCGUGGUUGCCGACACUCAUUGGCCCAAUGGCCAAACCGGCCACAGUUGUGGCAACUGUUGUCUUGUGCCGGCUUGGGCUUGCCAGCGGCGCCGUCCUUGGCGCCUCCGCGGGCGUCACCUUCGGCACGUCCUUGUGCCCUGCCCGGGGUGCCUCUUCGCGCCUUACGCUGCUUGCCACGCUUGCGGCCGCCCGUCGAGGAGGAAGGCUCCCCCUUCUUCCUGUCACCAGGGCUGGGAUCCCACUGCUCCCGAGUUAGGAGCAGCUUCCCGCCGGUGGUGACGGGCCCCAAGGGGGGCUGUGGCUCGUCGGUGUCGACGACCUUGAGUCGACCUAUCGCCUCCUCGAUCGUCAUCGUGGAGAGGUCCAGCAAUGACUCGAUCGAGCGAGCCAUCUGCUUGUACUUCUCGGGAAUGCAUCAAAAAAGCUUCUCGACAGCUCUCUCCUCGGUGUAGGUGGCAUCGCCAAACUUCACCAUCUUCUGCAGCAGAGUGUUGAGACGGAGAGCAAAGUCAUCAACGUCCUCACCUGGCUUGAAGCCCAGGUUCUCCCACACGUUGAUUCACAUCUUGGAGUCCCUACCUUCCACUUUCUAGCUUGAUUUUGUUGUUUUUUGUCCUAAUCCGAAAAUCCCCACCAAAAAUAGCCCCAAAAAUUUUUUCUUGCAAUUUGUUGAUUUGGUUGAUUUGAUCCACGAAUUUGGUGUUUGACAAGUGGAUCUACCCAUCCACCAUCAUCCCCACCCAUCCCCCACUGGAAUUUGGCCAAAAACUCGCAAUCUCCACGAAAUCAUAGAAGUUCAUCCGCUCUCGGGAGACCCCGUGCACACGGGCCAUCGGGACCCCGUGCGCACGGGCCAUCCAGAAACUUUCGGCCAUUUUCUGUUUUUCUUAUUUUUGUUUCACCACCAUCCCUCGUGUUCUUCCGCACCAUUCCACGUGUUUGUUGAGUGUUCGGUUGCGAUUUCUCUUGUGUCCUAAGGUGUUUCGGCUACUUAGGCGCAACUUGGUAACAUCAUCGCCACCAAUCAUCAACUCGGACAACACUUUGACUUCGACAAGAUCAUCUUCGACCGUAAGCAAGGACGGUAACCUCGACGACACUUUGUACUCCCUUGCCAUUAACUUGAUAGCUUUGAGCCAUUUUGCGUAGCUUACCGAUCGAGACUAGCUUGUUGAGUAUUGCCGGGCCAUGUCUUAGUGCACCAUUUAGUGUUCCGUCCAUCCCGUGCAUCUACUACUUGUUAUCUCAUUAUGUGGCUCGCAUAUCAAGCAUCGUGGCAUAGUGAAAAAAAAAGAGGAGAUAAAAAGCUUUUAUGCAAAAGAGAAGAGAAGCAAAGAGCUUAUAAGAAAUAACAUCGAGCCUUCGCAUUUGUGCAUCAUCUUGGUCACCACAUACAUAUGCAUACUUGGGAUAGUGAGACGAGUAGAUUCUCUAUUAGGUUGGUGCACUAGCGUAUCUAGCCCAUAAGUGCAAUCGAGCUAGCGUCUCUCUAGUAUCCGUACGAGUACGACAAGAGCUUUUCCCGUGUUUCGAUAUCUUCGAGCUCAUUCCUUGGUUGUGCGGAUCCCAUUUAUCUUCCGUGUGUGUGUUCCUCGUGUUAUAUUGGGAGGUUAAUCUAUUUGUAUUAUUUGCCAUUUGUGAAUCUUCUCAACUUUAUCAACAUCUCGACUAACAUUUGCUUGAAUUAUUUGUGUCUUUCCUAACCAAGCUCCUCCAUAGACCAUUUACUUGUAGGUGUGAGAAACAAUUCCCGGUACCAAUUCCCCUAUUGUAACAUCACGUGGGAUCGUACUUGUUACAUCCAUAAUCUUCCGAAAAGGUAACUUUGGUUUUGUUCUCUCAUUUUCCUUCUCACCACCACUUUCUUAUGAUGGAUGGGCCAAGCUCCUCUACCAACCCACUCUUCAUCGAGCAAGACGACGAGAUGUCAUCCUUCGUCACCAAGACCCACCUCUUUGGUGCACAACAAGCUCUACAUCAAGAGCAACAAGCCAUUAACGACCGCAUCGACAACCUCGCCACCGACUUACGACUCUCCGAGCAACGAACACGCGACUACUUCGGCAACAAGCUCGACGCGCACAAGCAAGAGAACGAUGCAAGAAUGGACGAGAUCCGGGCUUUGUUGGUCAACCGGCAUCCUUCAACUUCUUCCUACUCAAGACGGAGCCAUUCAAGUCGACACUCCGACGACACCUCCUUCGGCUCAAGUACACCGUCAUCGACCAUACUUCGACAAGCCGCGCGUCAAGACCGUCAUGCAUCUCGAGAUCCACUACACGACAAACAUUCCCAAGAGCAAGUUGAUGAACAAGUCCCUCGUCCUCAAGCAAAUCAAGUCGCUUUUGCUCAAGCUCAAGAACGACAACGUCUUCGUCGUCAAGAAGAAGAAGAACGAGCGCGUCUACACCAAGAGAAACAAAGACGCCGAGGCUCAACGUCUUCAACAACAACAACGAGAAGCACAAGCUAUUGAGGCGGAACGUGCCCUUCAAGAAUCAAGUCGAGCCAUCGCCAACCGCAAUCGCGAACGGCGGAAUCAAGAGGAAGCCCUUCAAGAAGAAAUACAAGAUAGGAACUAUCAACCACGUGUGCACCGUCAAGUUCGUCAAGCUCCACCUCAACCUCAAGUGCAACAAGAGCGACACCAAGUGGAACAAGUGCUUCAAGACCCUCCUCCACACCAAGAACGACAUCAUGAGGAACGAGCAUUCGAGGACUUUCCAAGGCAAGAGCGAUAUCGCAACCGCUAUCAAGAUGAAGAGCAACGAUAUGGAAAACUCAAAUUCACAAUGCCCAAGUUCAAUGGAAGCAAUGAUCCGGAAGAAUAUCUCUCAUGGGCAUUGAAGGUCGACAAAAUCUUUCGUUUGCACAACUACGAGGAAGAGAAGAAGAUCGCAAUGGCAUCACUUGAGUUCCAAGACUAUGUGCUCAUAUGGUGGGAACAAGUCCUUGAGCGCCGAGAAGCAAGAGGUGACCCUCCAAUCACCACUUGGGAUCAAAUGAAGGAUGUCAUGAGAGCACGAUUUGUGCCCACCUACUACAACCGUGAUCUCUUCAAGAAGCUACAACUCCUCAAGCAAGGAACAAAGAGUGUUGAAGAAUACUACAAGGAAAUGAAAAUAGCCAUGAUUCGAGCCAAUGUCAAGGAAGAUGAUGAGCAAACAAUGGCACGAUUCUUGAAUGGACUCAAUCACCCCAUCAAGAAGAUCGCCGACUUCCAACCCUAUUCCAACCUCAUCGAGCUAGUACAUCAAGCGACCAAGGCGGAACGUCAAGUACAAGAUGAUUUCAAGUACGCCACGUACUCCUCCAAGACAUACGGCUUCUCCAACAAUCAAGCUUCAACAACUCCUCCAACAUCUACGUCAACCAAGCCUUCUCCAAGCAACAACGACAAGACAUCAUACAAGAAUCCUUCGUCAAGUUCAAGUCGCCUUCCUCCUAAUACAAGCAACUACAAGCCGCGUGCUUCUUCCUCUACUCCGACCGAUGAGACCGUCAAGACAAGCUCCUUCAAGUGUUUCACUUGCGGCGGCCGAGGCCACAAGUCCUUCCAAUGCAUCAACAAGCGCACCAUGAUCCUCAACGACGAUGGCACCUACGACUCAAGGAGUGAAGAUGAACUAGAAGCUAUUGAGCAAGUGGCCAUGCACCGGCGCGUGAAUGAGGAUGAAGAUGAUCAAGUCUUUUGUGAUGAGGAUUCGAGCCCCGCUCUCGUUGUCUCCAAAGUUUUGACACUUCAACAUCAACAAGAAGAAGACCAACGAUGCCACAUCUUCCACACUAAAGCCGGCAUCAAUGGAAGGUCCGUCAAGGUCAUCAUCGAUGGAGGUAGUUGCCACAACUUGGCAAGUGAAGAACUAUGUACAAAGCUUCAAUUGGUCAAGAGGAAGCACCCGCACCCCUACAAGGUUCAAUGGCUAAGUGACUCCGGCACUAUACGAGUUGAGCAAACGGUCCAAGUCUCCUUCAAAAUCGGUGCAUAUGAGGACACUUUGGAGUGUGAUAUGGUCCCAAUGACCGUUUGCCACCUCCUUCUUGGUCGACCAUGGUGUCAUCCACAAUGGGCGAACCAAUCACUAUAGCUUCAAGAUGAAAGGGAAGGAGUAUGUGCUACGACCUAUGUCUCCUAGUCAAGUGAUAGCCGACAAGCAAGCCACCCAUCAUGGAGAGAAGAGUGAGAAAGUGACCCACCCAAAAGUGAGUGAGAGCCACAAGCCAAACUUGAGCGCCUCUUCGCCUAGAGAAAAACCUCAUCCUAUUUGCCACCAAAAGUGAGAUGAGAGAAGUGUGUGAGAACCCAUCGAGUGUGAUGCACUUUGUCCUUAUGUGCAAGGAUGGAGAGCCAACAACUAACACUUCUCACGAGCUACCUUUAGUGUUUCAAUCUCUUAUGCAGGAAUUCCACGAUGUUUUCCCUCAUGAGCUACCUCCGGGUCUACCUCCACUACGAGGCAUUGAGCAUCGAAUUGACCUCAUCCCCGGAGCACCACUUCCAAACAAAGCUCCAUACCGUGUCAAUCCCGAAGAAACCAAGGAGAUUCAACGGCAAGUACAACAACUAAUCGACAACGGUCAUGUACGUGAAAGCUUAAGCCCUUAUGUGGUUCCCGUUAUACUUGUGCCUAAGCCCGAUGGAAGUUUCCGCCUAUGUUCUGAUUGUAGACCCAUAAAUGCUAUCACCGUUCGCUAUAGGCAUCCCAUUCCUCGCUUAGAUGAUAUGCUUGAUGAACUUAGUGGAGCCAACUUUUUCUCAAAAAUUGAUCUUAAAAGUCGCUAUUAUCAAAUCCGCAUACAAGAAGGAGAUGAAUGGAAAACUGCUUUCAAAACAAAAUUUGGCUUGUAUGAGUGGUUAGUGAUGCCUAUGGGUUUAUCGGAGGCUCCUGGUACUUUUGUGCGUCUCAUGCAUCAUGUACUUCGACCUUACAUUGGAGUCUUUGUUGUUGUUUACUUCGAUGAUAUUCUUGUGUUUAGCAAAACCAUGAAAGAACAUCUUGAUCAUGUUAGGCUUGUUUUACAAACACUCCGCAAGGAAAGUCUUUAUGCCAACAUGAAAAAGUGCACAUUUGGUGUUGACAAAGUGGUUUUCUUGGGUUUCGUGGUCUCUUCCAAGGGUGUCCAUGUUGAUGAAACUAAAAUUGAAGCAAUUAAAACUUGGCCCCAACCCACCAAUUUGCAACAAGUGAGAAGUUUUCUUGGUCUUGCAGGAUUUUAGUGCCGCUUUGUGAAAAACUUUAGCACAAUCGCCGCUCCUUUGCAUGCUUUGAGUAAGAAGAAUACUCCUUUUGUUUGGGGAUCUUUGCAAUCAACCGCUUUUGAUGAGCUCAAGUCUUUGCAUACUCAUGCUCCGAUUCUUGCUUUGCCCAACUUUGACAAAACUUUUGAGGUUCAUUGUGAUGCAAGUGGUACCGGAAUUGGCGGAGUUUUAAUGCAAGAAAAACGAGCAAUUGCAUACUUUAGUGAAAAACUCUCUGGUGCUCAACUUAACUAUCCCAUCUAUGACAAAGAAUUGUAUGCUUUAGUGCGUGUCCUACAUGUUUGGGAACAUUAUCUUAGACCUCAUGAGUUUGUCAUACAUACCGAUCAUGAAACACUUAAAUACCUAAAAGGACAAACUAAGUUGAAUAAGCGUCAUGCCAAAUGGAGUGAAUUUAUUGAAUCUUUCCCGUAUGUGAUCAAGUACAUUAAGGGUAAGGAAAAUGUAGUUGCCGAUGCACUUUCACGCAUAUGCACGCUUGUCACUAAACUUGAGUUGAAUGUUAUUGGCUUUGAGCACAUAAAAGACUUGUAUGCUAAUGAUCCAUCUUUUGCACCUCAUUAUGCUAAAUGUUUGAUGCAUACAUCUUGAGAACAAUAUUACAUCAAGGAUGGUUAUCUUAUGAGAGCUAACAAACUAUGCAUUCCCGAGUCUUCUCUUCGUUUGCUCCUUUUGCAAGAGGCUCAUGGAGGCGGACUCAUGGGACACUUUGGACGCGACAAGACUUUCGCCACGCUCUCCAAGAACUACUUUUGGCCCAAUAUGUUCUGCGACGUCUCACGCUUCACCAACCGAUGCUCUACAUGUCGCAAAGCUAAGUCUAAAGCUCAAUCUCAUGGUCUUUACAUGCCUCUUCCUAUUCCUUAUCAACCUUGGGAAGACAUUAGUAUGGAUUUUGUACUUGGUUUGCCUCGAACUCAAAAUGGAAAGGAUUCCGGGUUUGUUGUUGUGGACCGAUUUUCUAAGAUGGCACAUUUUAUUCCUUGCAACAAGAUAGACGAUGCUUCACAUAUUGCAAAUCUCUUUUGUAGGGAAAUCUUGCGCCUCCAUGGAGUACCAAAGACAAUCGUCUCCGACCGCGACGUCAAGUUCUUGAGUUACUUUUGAAAGGCUCUAUGCGCCAAGCUCAGAAUCAAGCUAUUGUUCUCAUCCGCAUACCAUCCUCAAACCGACGGCCAAACGGAGGUGACAAACCGGACACUAUCCACUCUACUUCGCGUGUUGAUCAAGAAGAACAUCAAGGAGUGGGAGGCGUGUCUACCCAUCGCCGAGUACGCCUACAACCGCGCAAGACAUUCGACUACCGGCAAGUCCCCCUUCGAGGUCGUCUACGGCUUCAACCCGUUGUCCCCAUUGGACAUUCUACCUCUCCCUCUACAAGAGCGCACCAACAUGGAUGCGAGUGCACGAGCAAGCUACAUCAAAAAGAUGCAUGAAGAUACAAGAAACAUCAUCGAGCGCCACGUACAUCGACUAGCCACCAAGCUCAACGUCAACAAACAACCCAUGAUCUUCAACAUAGGUGAUCUCGUGUGGCUACACCUUCGCAAGGACCGCUUCCCCAACGAACGCAAGUCCAAACUACUACCUCGAGCCGAUGGACCAUUCAAGGUGCUAGCAUGCUACAACAACAAUGCCUACAAGAUUGAACUCCCACGAGACAAGUACAACGUGAGCGACAUCUUCAACGUCAAAGACCUCUCUCCUUUCCAUGGUGAUGAAGAUCUUGAUCCGAGGUCGGAUCCUUUCGAAGGGAGGGGAGAUGAUGCGGAGCAUCCUUCCAUCAUCCCCAUGGACUCUACAUCAACACAUCCACCCCCACACGGACCCAUGACAAGAGCUAGAGCACGUGCUUUGGAAACCGAGGUGAACUCCUUCCUACUAGACUUGCAUAUGGACACAAAUGGAACAUGUAUACUACCUCACCAAAAUAUGCUAUGCAUCCUUAGGUAUGAAGUGGAACAUCACCAAGGAGCUCAGGAGCAUCCCCAAGGAGAAGGAGAACCACCCCAAGGCCAUGAGGAUCAAGACGGAGUGCAACCGCAGCAAAACAGCAAGUCCCAGGUGACCCCGUGCGCACGGGCCCCAGAGACCCCGUGUCCACAGGCUACACGGGAACCCGGCGCUGGAGCACCCCGUGCGCACGGGCCUGUACCGUGCCCACGGGACCCCCGUGCGCACGGGCCCAACUUACCCCGUGCGCACGGGCCUCCCAGGAUGGCCGGCUGAGAUGGGAUCUCCGACUCCCCUUCGUCUCCUUCGACCCCAAGCCUAUAUAAUUCGUACCUAGGGCCAUGUUUAGGGUUAGCAAAGUAUUGGAUGAUAUCUUGGUGAGCUUUGCUCCAUUACCUUCCCUCUUUGAGGAUCAAGACCCCAUAUGGAAGAAUCCUUGAGGAUUUCAAGACCUCCAUUGGGAGAAGACUACCACCAAGACCACUCUUCCUUUGGAUUUGGGAUGAACUUUGCCAUUGUAUCUUUCCUUUGAUUGUGUUUGAGACUUGUGGAUCUUGUGUUGUUACUCUAGUGGAUGUGUAAUUGAGAAUUGUUGGAGUGAUUGUCCCUUUGUGUUCAUCCUUGUGUUCUUGUGAUUUCUCUCCUUUUUCCCCCUCCAAGUGUGAAAAGAUCCUUCCUAGGGUUCUACCCUACAUCACUUAUUUAAGUUGAUUCUAGUGUAACAAUGAAAAACUUCUGGAGAACCCAUACCUUAUAGCUAUUAUAAAUAUAGGUUAUUACUUCAGAACCAUAUAAUGAGAGAGGUCUAUUUUUAGGUUAUUACUACUUCAGAACCAUAUACCAUUUAACAGUACUACUUUUUAGAAGAUAAUUUGUUGUGCUUCUAGAGAAUUGGCAGAAUAAUCAAAAGCAAAGGUCCGACGGUUCAUUGUAUCAACCAAUCAUGAAUUACUGGCUAAAGGUUCUAGAAUUUACAUUAUACAUAAGUAGUAGAAAAACAUAAUUUUUGUUUUAAAUUGAGUUGUAUCUGUAACACAGUUAUAUUCAGAGGACACAAACAUGGGUACUUCCAACGCUAUCACACACAAAGUUAAAUGCAUUGGCUUUAGAGAUACCUCGACAGAUGUCAUUAGGUGGAGAAGUUAUAUUCAACAGGGCAUGAAGAGAUGGUCACCAAAAUAGGGGUUAGCCCCACCCCUUCCUGACAUUCUUGUGCCCACGAUGGAAGUAUUUCGGGGCAUUGAAAAGGCAAAUUGUGAACUCUGAAGAUUUCAAUUAAUUUCCAGCUCAUUCCCUGCUAACGAAAGGAACAGAUAUCAUGUUGGAUUAAGCACGCCAUACUAAUGUACGGCAAACAAGACAUUGAGAUGGUAAUGGAUAUGAUUUUAGCGUGCUGUAAACAUAUAUCAUACCGAUGAAUAAAACUUGCAAACAAAUUCAGUUACAUGCCCCUAAGGGUAAACAAUAUUCUGAGUUUCAGUAAAUCUACAUACCGAUGAACAGUUAUAUGAAAAGGAUAUGCACAGACGAAGGCAGCUGAACCUGAAACAAAUAAAAAAGGAAACACAAUGCAAAAUAUAACACCAUGAUGGUACACUGAUAUCUCAAAAGGCCCCAACAGAGGCAUGCCCCUAAGGGUAAACGAUAUUCUGAGUUUCAGUAGUACAAUCUACAUUUUCAUCUUCGGCAAGUAUUUUUAGCGAUUCUCUUGAUGUACAUGAGACACAACAAUGUAUAGUUGUCCAAAAGUAAACACACAAUUCUUUAGAUGUAUACCAAAGAUAAAAAUUCUUAGCAAAUUAUUUGAACAAAAUAAGGCAUCAUUAGACUCAACAGAAUUUGAUGUUUGCAGAUCAAUUAAGUAUAUCCCCUUAUUGCCAUGGAAAGAAACUCAAGAUUCAAUAGACCAAGCUACAUUGAUUGAGAAAAUAAAACGGUUAAGGACGUGGACUAUGUAGGUAAACAUACUAAGUAUAUCAGUAUUGUACAGAACAUUAUGCUUAAAAACAUGAUAACCAUAAGUGUUGACAUGUAUUUAGCAUCAGUCAAAACAAUAUUUUAGAUUAAUUCCAGACUGAGCCAACACCUAAAUUCGGAUGGUAAGACGAUACAUACAACGGUGCACCUAGUUCUGUAAACAAUGAGGAGUGAAAAGUAGGAGAAGAAGAGGAGCUGCCAUGAAGAUCCGUGAACAGAGACACACGAGGCUGCUUGUAGAUGACGAGCAGGCAUAGACCGAAGAGGCACUGACCAGAGGAUCGACCAAAAAGAUGAGAAUCAGGCGACAAGGGGCCAAUCUGCAGGAAAAACAAAGAAAAAAAACAGAUAUGAGCAGCAGCCAAUCACCAAGAAUGGGACAAAAAUAGAUUUUGCAGCAGCCAAUGAGCAAGAACGGGGGAAAAUAGAAUCGUACAGGAGAGGAAGUACAUAUUGUUGCAAGAAUAGUUGCGAUGAUGGAUCCGUUGCAUAGCAGCAGGAAAUUGCCUUAUGGAUAACAUAAUUGUGUCCAAUACAUAUCCAG
rnacentral:lncRNA from 1 species